rnacentral:rRNA from 1 species
GACGAACGCUGGCGGCGUGCUUAACACAUGCAAGUCGAACGAAGAGCGAUGGAAGCUUGCUUCUAUCAGUUUUAGUGGCGAACGGGUGAGUAACGUGUAUUCAACCUGUCCUUCAGAGGGGGACAACAGUUGGAAACGACCUCUAAUACCGCAUACUAUCUAAUCUCGGCAUCGAGGAUAGAUGAAAGGUGGUCUCUACAUGUAAGCUAGCACUGAAGGAGGGGAUUGCGGCUGAUUAGCUAGUUGGUGGGGUACGGGCCUACCAAGGCAAUGAUCAGUAGCGGUCUGGAGAGAUGAACCGCCAACACGGGAAUGAGAAACCGGCCCAGAUUCCUAGGGGAGCAGCCAGUAGGGAAUCUCCGGCAAGGACCGAAGUCUGAACGGGCAAAGCCGGGUUGAGGAUGAAGGCCUUCCGGUUCGAAAGCUCUUUUUAUCAGGAAGAAACGACUUCUUACGAAUAGUGACAAGGAUUGACGGUACCGGAUCAGAAAGCCACGGCUAACUACGUG